GCCAGGUGCGGUGGCUCACACCUGUAAUCCCAGCACCUUGGGAGGCUGAGGUGGGAGGAUCACUUGAGCCCAGGAGUUCAAGACCAGCCUGGGCAAUAUAGCAAGACCCCAUCUCUA
rnacentral:SRP_RNA from 2 species